AGCAGGCUGGUCCAUGAGGUGACUUCUGCCCAGUGCUCUGAUUGUCAAUGCGAAGAGAUUCAGCCAAGCGCGGGUAAACGGCGGGAGUAACUAUGACUCUCUUAAGGUAGCCAAAUGCCUCGUCAACCAAUUAUUGACGCGCAUGAAUGGAUCAACGAGAUUCCUGCUGUCCCUAGUUGCCGUCUGGUGAACCAACAGCCAAGGGAACGGGCUUGGAUGUGUCAGCGGGGAAAGAAGACCCUGUUGAGUUUGACUCUAGUUUGAUGCUGUGCAGUGACAUGGAGGGUGUAGCACAGGUGGGAGGCAAGUGCCAAUCGCCACAGGGAGGACUCCGGUCCAUUCGCCAUCGCCACAGGGUGGACUUCGGUCCGUUUGCCAUUGCCACAGGGUGGACUUCGGUCCUUUGCCAUAUUCCAGACCAUCGGGGUGUUGGCAGUGGGAGACUGCUGACAUUCGUCUCGCAGCUUGCUGCAUCAUCGGGGAAAGAAGACCACAGAUGUUGUGUCUGCAGGACCUCUGGUCCAUUCGAUGUCGGCUCUUCCAAACAGAGAUGUUGUGCCUUGGUGCAAACCAGCAGUGAAAUACCACUACCUUCACCGUCGCUUUACUCAUUGAGUGAUCUGGGAUCGGCGGCCAUUCAAUCAGCUCUUCCCUCGCGGAGGGGCUGUGGCCAAGAACCGCUUCGUGCACCAAGCGUCGUACCUUGUGUGCGGCGCGACCCUGGAGUCGCAUUCCAAUCAGAAGCCUUGAGACAUCGAUCAGUUGGGGAGUUUGGCUGGGGCGGCACGCCUGUUACAGGACAACGCAGGCGUCCUGAAGCAAUGCUCAGAUGGAACAGAAAUCUCUCAUGGAGGAGCAGGCCAAAGGUGCUGCUGAUGCUGCGACUUUCAGUGCAAGUCCAAAACGUGCAAGUGUGGCCUAGCGAUCCUUUGGUUGAGUGCACGAGUUUGGGAUAUUGAAGCCAGAGGUGUCAGAAAAAUUACCACAGGGAUAACUGGCUUGUGGCUGCCAAGCGUUCAAAGCGACGUCGCUUUUUGAUCCUUCGAUGUCGGCUCUUCCUAGCUUCCCACCCGCAGCCGAGUGGAAGAGUUGGAUUGUUCACCCA
rnacentral:rRNA from 1 species